rnacentral:rRNA from 1 species
GUAGGGUGCGAGCGUUGUCCGGAAUUACUGGGCGUAAAGAGCUCGUAGGUGGUUUGUCGCGUUGUCCGUGAAAACUCACAACUCAAUUGUGGGCGUGCGGGCGAUACGGGCAGACUGGAGUACUGCAGGGGAGACUGGAAUUCCUGGUGUAGCGGUGGAAUGCGCAGAUAUCAGGAGGAACACCGGUGGCGAAGGCGGGUCUCUGGGCAGUAACUGACGCUGAGGAGCGAAAGCGUGGGGAGCGAACAGGAUUAGAUACCCUGGUAGUCCACGCCGUAAACGGUGGGUACUAGGUGUGGGUUUCCUUCCUUGGGAUCCGUGCCGUAGCUAACGCAUUAAGUACCCCGCCUGGGGAGUACGGCCGCAAGGCUA